AAGCCAGAGGUCGGUAAAACACAGCAUCCCCGGCACGCGGCACCGAGCUCUCCUGGGGCGCGUCACCUGUCCGGGCUCGCCAGGCCGGCCCCGCAUCCGCUGCCGGUCCGGGGAGGCCUCCCGUGCCCUGGCCUGCCCGGCGGCACCUGCCCCCGGCGCCCCACGGGUCUCCCCGCACCCCCCCCCGGCGCGCCCCUCCCCCCACCCCCCGGGCCGCGCGGGGAAACGGUUCGGUUUCCUGUCCUCUCCCCGGUCCGCAUCUCGGCAUCCAAUCAGCGCGCGGUCCUCCUCGCCCGCCUCCCCCGGCGCCGGCCAAUCAGCGGGCGCGGCGCUGCCCAUAGGCGCGGAGCCGGAGGGGGGGGAGGGGGGAACCCCUCGGGCCGCCCGCGCCCCCUCACAGGCCGCAGACUCCCCCCGCCGCGUCCCGCCCGCACCCCGCGCACUCACCGGGGCAGCCAGCGCCGCGACCUCCGCCUCCUCCGCCCGGCGCCCGCGCUGCCUCCGGCCCGGCUGAAGGGAGGCGGGAAGGAGGGGGAGGGGGCGACCAGAGCGGAGCGAGCGCCCAGCGGCCGAGAAACAAGAUGGCGGCGGAACCGUGAGGCGGCGGUGAAGAGGCUCCGCCCCUUUCCCCUGGGCCGCGGCACUGCGCAGGCGCAUGACCCGGGGCGGAUCUCGCGAGACCUCCGCUCGGCGCGGGGCGGGAGAGGCGGGAAGGGCGCCGCCAUGGGCGGAACCACCGGGCGGGGCCCGCGGGCCGCUGCCCUCGGUGCGGACCGUGCUCGGGGCUCGCUGCGGGGGGAGCCCGGUGCCGGCUGGCCUCGGGGGGGCACCCGAGCUCCCCGGCUGCGGCAGGGCCUGGCUCGGGCCUUCCCUGGCUCGGGCCGUCUCCGGGCCGGGCCGGGCCCCGCCGGUACCGAGGCCCGAGGCCUGGGGCCGAGGCGAACGGCCGCUUCCCUGGGCCGCGCGGGCACCGCUUGUGCAGCAGCCGGGAAGGGCACCCGGGCGAGGAGCUGUCCAACUCGCUUCACACUGGCCUCCCAUCCAUCAUCGCAGCGCGGCUUUCUGCUGCUCUCCUGCCCCAGCUGGAGCCGAUUCAAGCAAAAGUCUGUGCCCCGGCUCGGCCGUGCCGCUUCCCAGGCGCUGCUUUUUUGGCUUGGGGAUGUGUUACACCAACGCGUGACUCAUGCUGCUUCAGUAUUUUUCCCAUGA
rnacentral:lncRNA from 1 species